UACGUAGGGGGCAAGCGUUGUCCGGAAUCAUUGGGCGUAAAGAGCGUGUAGGCGGUUCGGUAAGUCGGCUGUGAAAGUCCAGGGCUCAACCCUGGGAUGCCGGUCGAUACUGCCGGACUAGAGUUCGGAAGAGGCGAGUGGAAUUCCCGGUGUAGCGGUGAAAUGCGCAGAUAUCGGGAGGAACACCUACUGGCGAAGGCAGCUCGCUGGGACGUUACUGACGCUGAGACGCGAAAGCGUGGGGAGCGAACAGG
rnacentral:rRNA from 1 species